rfam:Myotis lucifugus cont2.36959, whole genome shotgun sequence.
GGGCCAACCUCACAGAGCAGGACUUACUUCAGCAGGGCUCUGAUGCCUGCUGAGUCUGCCCCUUGAGUGUGUCCCU